rnacentral:rRNA from 1 species
AUGCAACUCUUGGCGUUUGCAGACGGAGGAGUCAGGACUCAGGCAAAACCUACACUGUUCAGGAUUCAGCAACCAGCCAAGGAACAUAUCAAGAAUAUUGAAAAAACAGCUGCUAGUGCUCUACAAGAGACUUCAGAGGCCUUGUGUACACAACAUCCAAAAUCAGAUGAAAAGCUUGACAGCAUACAACUUUGGUGGCCUGGAAAAGAGCUAGCUAUGGAUAAGAAGCUAUCGGACUAUAUUGGUGUUAAUGAUAAAACAAAGAUUGUCAUCAGGCUAAGCCUCCCAAUGAACCCUUAG